rnacentral:rRNA from 1 species
GAUGAACGCUGGCGGCGUGCCUAAUACAUGCAAGUCGAGCGAAUGGACGAGAAGCUUGCUUCUCUGAUGUUAGCGGCGGACGGGUGAGUAACACGUGGAUAACCUACCUAUAAGACUGGGAUAACUUCGGGAAACCGGAGCUAAUACCGGAUAAUAUUUUGAACCGCAUGGUUCAAUAGUGAAAGACGGUCUUGCUGUCACUUAUAGAUGGAUCCGCGCUGCAUUAGCUAGUUGGUAAGGUAACGGCUUACCAAGGCAACGAUGCAUAGCCGACCUGAGAGGGUGAUCGGCCACACUGGAACUGAGACACGGUCCAGACUCCUACGGGAGGCAGCAGUAGGGAAUCUUCCGCAAUGGGCGAAAGCCUGACGGAGCAACGCCGCGUGAGUGAUGAAGGUCUUCGGAUCGUAAAACUCUGUUAUUAGGGAAGAACAUAUGUGUAAGUAACUGUGCACAUCUUGACGGUACCUAAUCAGAAAGCCACGGCUAACUACGUG